AACGAUGAAGCCCUUCGGGGUGGAUUAGUGGCGAACGGGUGAGUAACACGUGGGCAAUCUGCCCUUCACUCUGGGACAAGCCCUGGAAACGGGGUCUAAUACCGGAUAACACACUUUCCCUCCUGGGAGGGUGUUAAAAGCUCCGGCGGUGAAGGAUGAGCCCGCGGCCUAUCAGCUUGUUGGUGGGGUAAUGGCCUACCAAGGCGACGACGGGUAGCCGGCCUGAGAGGGCGACCGGCCACACUGGGACUGAGACACGGCCCAGACUCCUACGGGAGGCAGCAGUGGGGAAUAUUGCACAAUGGGCGAAAGCCUGAUGCAGCGACGCCGCGUGAGGGAUGACGGCCUUCGGGUUGUAAACCUCUUUCAGCAGGGAAGAAGCGAAAGUGACGGUACCUGCAGAAGAAGCGCCGGCUAACUACGUGCCAGCAGCCGCGGUAAUACGUAGGGCGCAAGCGUUGUCCGGAAUUAUUGGGCGUAAAGAGCUCGUAGGCGGCUUGUCACGUCGGGUGUGAAAGCCCGGGGCUUAACCCCGGGUCUGCAUUCGAUACGGGCUAGCUAGAGUGUGGUAGGGGAGAUCGGAAUUCCUGGUGUAGCGGUGAAAUGCGCAGAUAUCAGGAGGAACACCGGUGGCGAAGGCGGAUCUCUGGGCCAUUACUGACGCUGAGGAGCGAAAGCGUGGGGAGCGAACAGGAUUAGAUACCCUGGUAGUCCACGCCGUAAACGUUGGGAACUAGGUGUUGGCGACA
rnacentral:rRNA from 1 species